CGGCGGACGGGUGAGUAACACGUGGAUAACCUACCUAUAAGACUGGGAUAACUUCGGGAAACCGGAGCUAAUACCGGAUAAUAUAUUGAACCGCAUGGUUCAAUAGUGAAAGACGGUUUUGCUGUCACUUAUAGAUGGAUCCGCGCCGCAUUAGCUAGUUGGUAAGGUAACGGCUUACCAGGCAACGAUGCGUAGCCGACCUGAGAGGGUGAUCGGCCACACUGGAACUGAGACACGGUCCAG
rnacentral:rRNA from 1 species